UUUGCGGGAAGUGCAAUGCCGUCUUCAGUGGCUGUCAACGGUCCUGUUCUGCUUCAUAUCAGGCAACUAUAGUAUAGAUUCACACGGGUUUUUGAACAAUUUUGACUUCUUUCUAUUAACCCAGAUAUAAUUACAAAUCCGCGAGAGCAAAUUCUCAACUCUAUUUGCAUGCUUAAAAUACUUUGAUUAGAUUAAAUGACUUUGCCAAGGCUCAGAGAAAGCAUCUUAGCUUAUUCUCAAACUAUGGAAUUUUUCGCAAUUCAACAGGCAGUAUAUCUAAACCUAUUGUAGUCGGAAUUUUCCGAUGUUUGAUUGAGAUGAUCCAAUUGCCUAUCACAGACGUUGAUACAACAGGUUACAUAUUUUCAUCAAAAUUAUCCUUAUAUAUUCUCACUGUCAGCGCCUGCAGAUAAUUGUAAUUAUUAUAAUUAUUUAUUAGGGUUAUCUUUGAAAAACACAAUCUGGUUUUCAGCGAUCGCUCCAUGCGAUAGUUAAAUUGGCGCAUUGUACAUAUGUGAGAAAGACAAAGCUAAAAUCACAUUUUAUUUUAUCUUCAAAAAUUAUCAUUGGUUUCACUGAUGCAGUGCAAAAAAAAAAAUCAAAAUCUGACAGACAACAUUUUAUCGACCUAAAAGAGUUCAAGAAAUUCACAGGAGCAAAAUUUUGUGCACUUUCAAAAGCUUCAUAAGCUCCUUUUUUUAAUUUGUUUAGUUGGCUGAUACAGCUAUUUUAUUCAAUAUUGCGCAUCGAUUUACCUCUAAUCAGCAUUUAGAUGGCGAAAAUUACGACCUUUAUCUGCCUUUGUUACUCGCGCUAGGUUGAAAAAGUCAAUGGAAAACUAAGAUUUAGAAAGGAGCGCAAUAUGUCAUCUUACAAUUGCAAUUUUUCAAAACAGACACUCACAUUGUAUUGAAUUCUAAGGAUUUGUAUCCUGUGCUAUUGACGUCUGUGAUUUCUUACAACAUAGGUGCAAAAGAUGCGGAUUGCAUUGAGAGGAAUAUAUUCAGAUAUACUUACUGCUGACUUGCGAACAAUUCCAUCAGUUUGUGAAUUUUCUAAGAAAUUCGUAUCUUUGGGCUGUAAAUAAGCAUGUUCACUUGUAGUUAUUCAGUAAGCAUCAAAAGAGUAAAUUUGUUUCCGCGAACCUGUCGUUAUUUCUGUGUGAGCUUUCAGAGAGAACAAAAAUUGAUCUAAACCCCUGAGUUUUUCCUAUAAGUAUAAUGAAGCACGCAGAGCAAGACCGAUGACAACCAUUGACUGCGGCAUUGACCUCCUAAAAAUAAUGUUGCUUUAUAAAUCCUUAUUAAUGUUAAAGUCUACUUAAUUGAACACACCCUCCAUGGGGACAAUCUUUCUUCUCGAAUUAUCUCCUUUGAAAGAAUAAAUCCGAGAGUUUUUAACAGAGGUAGUCUUACCCAAGAAAAACUCUACUGGCAAGCAUCCUACACCACGUUGAUGCCCUUUAUUGUAGAAGAUGUGUUGGAAACAACUUUAAUUCUUCGGGUAGAAGAGGCUCAAGAAUUACUUUUAUCGUAUUCUGCCAUCUUUGCACCAUAAAUUUCCUUCGCUGUCAAAAUUCUUGUUUCGCUAACUUCUCUAAUGAAUUAUAAAAAAUAUGUAAAUUGAAUUUUCCCGGCUACGAAGCGAGGAAAUAAAGCACAUUGACCCACCA